UACAGAGGUGGCAAGCGUUGUUCGGAAUUACUGGGCGUAAAGGGCGCGUAGGCGGCUUUUCAAGUGACGGGUGAAAGCCCUCGGCUUAACCGAGGAACUGCCUGUCAGACUGGAAGGCUUGAGACCGGGGAGAGGUGAGUGGAAUUCCCAGUGUAGCGGUGAAAUGCGUAGAUAUUGGGAGGAACACCAGUGGCGAAGGCGGCUCACUGGACCGGAACUGACGCUGAGGCGCGAAAGCGUGGGGGAGCAAACAGG
rnacentral:rRNA from 1 species